rnacentral:rRNA from 1 species
UACAGAGGGGGCAAGCGUUAUUCGGAAUUAUUGGGCGUAAAGGGCGCGUAGGCGGCUUGGCAAGUGGAAGGUGAAAUCCCUCGGCUUAACCGAGGAACUGCCCUCCAAACUGCUUCGCUUGAGACCGGGAGAGGUGAGUGGAAUUCCCAGUGUAGCGGUGAAAUGCGUAGAUAUUGGGAGGAACACCAGUGGCGAAGGCGGCUCACUGGACCGGUACUGACGCUGAUGCGCGAAAGCGUGGGGAGCAAACAGGG